CCUCUCUCUUUGGCCCUUUUAUACCCCAGGCUCCUGCUCCCUCUUCUUCCUUUUCUCCCGCUCUUUGUCCCUCCACACAGUCUCUUUAGUCCCACCCCCUUUUUCCUUGGCCAUUUUAUACCCCAGUCUCCUCCUCCUCCCCCUCUUCUCUCCUCCUGCAAAACUGCUCACCACAAAGCACAUCAUCUCUUCAGCUCUGCUUUCCUCUUGUCCCUGGGGGAGCCUUGGACUCGGUCCCUUUCCAAGUGUCUUUCUCUGCCUUUGGACGCUCUAGGAGGUGCUGACGUUCCGGGAUGUGGCUGUGGACUUCACCCAGGAGGAGUGGCGCCUCUUGGAGCCUCCCCAGAAGGAGCUGUACAAGGAGGUGAUGCUGGACAAUGCCAGGAACCUGCUCUCCCUGGGGCUGCCCGUUCCCAGAGAAGAUUUGAUCUCUUAUUUGGAGCAAAGGGAAGCCCCCUGGAUGCUGGGGCAGGAAGGCCUGAGGAGCUGCUGUGCAGAAGGAGAGAUUAGACUUGAAAUGGAAGAGACUAAAGCAAAGGUAAACAUUUCUGUAAAAGAAACUC